GACGAACGCUGGCGGCGUGCUUAACACAUGCAAGUCGAACGGAAAGGCCCUGCUUUUGUGGGGUGCUCGAGUGGCGAACGGGUGAGUAACACGUGAGUAACCUGCCCUUGACUUUGGGAUAACUUCAGGAAACUGGGGCUAAUACCGGAUAGGAGCUCCUGCUGCAUGGUGGGGGUUGGAAAGUUUCGGCGGUUGGGGAUGGACUCGCGGCUUAUCAGCUUGUUGGUGGGGUAGUGGCUUACCAAGGCUUUGACGGGUAGCCGGCCUGAGAGGGUGACCGGCCACAUUGGGCCUAAGAUACGGCCCAGACUCCUACGGGAGGCAGCAGUGGGGAAUAUUGCACAAUGGGCGGGAGCCUGAUACAGCAACGCCGCGUGCGGGAUGACGGCCUUCGGGUUGUAAACCGCUUUCGCCUGUGACGAAGCGUGAGUGACGGUAAUGGGUAAAGAAGCACCGGCUAACUACGUG
rnacentral:rRNA from 1 species